GACGAACGCUGGCGGCGUGCUUAACACAUGCAAGUCGAACUAAGUGGCGAACGGGUGAGUAACGCGUAAUCAACCUGCCCUUCAGAGGGGAAAAACAGGAGGAAACGACUGCUAAUACCGCAUAAUGAAGGAGGGGAGUGCGUCGGAUUAUAUAGUUGGGGGGGUAAAGGCCCACCCAUGCGAUGAUCAGUAGCCGGUCUGAGAGGAUGAACUGCCACAUUGGGACGGAGACACGGCACAGACUCCUACGGUAGGCAGCAGUGGGGAAUCUUCCGCAAUUGACGAAAGUCUGACGGAGCAACGCCGCGUGAGUGAUGACGGCCUUCGGGUUGUAAAGCUCUGUUAAUCGGGACGCGGUACCGGAAUAGAAAGCCACGGCUAACUACGUGCCAGCAGCCGCGGUAAUUC
rnacentral:rRNA from 1 species